UACGUAGGUGGCAAGCGUUGUCCGGAAUUAUUGGGCGUAAAGCGCGCGCAGGCGGUCCUUUAAGUCUGAUGUGAAAGCCCACGGCUCAACCGUGGAGGGUCAUUGGAAACUGGGGGGACUUGAGUACAGAAGAGAAGAGUGGAAUUCCACGUGUAGCGGUGAAAUGCGUAGAUAUCUGGAGGAACACCGGUGGCGAAGGCGGCAUCCUGGACCGGCAUUGACGCUGAACAGCGAAAGCCAGGGGAGCAAACGGG
rnacentral:rRNA from 1 species